AGCAGUAGCCACGGUAAUACAGAGGGUGCGAGCGUUAAUCGGAUUUACUGGGCGUAAAGCGUGCGUAGGCGGCUUCUUAAGUCGGAUGUGAAAUCCCUGAGCUUAACUUAGGAAUUGCAUUCGAUACUGGGAAGCUAGAGUAUGGGAGAGGAUGGUAGAAUUCCAGGUGUAGAGGUGAAAUGCGUAGAGAUCUGGAGGAAUACCGAUGGCGAAGGCAGCCAUCUGGCCUAAUACUGACGCUGAGGUACGAAAGCAUGGGGAGCAAACAGGAUUAGAUACCCGCGUAGUCCCUGUCUCUUAUAC
rnacentral:rRNA from 1 species